GUUAUGGCUCAGGGGUAGAGUGCUCGCCUCGAAUGUGCAAGGUCCUGGGUUUGAUCUUCAGCACGACA
rnacentral:tRNA from 1 species